UACAGGCUUAACACAUGCAAGUCGAGGGGCAGCAUGGUCUUAGCUUGCUAAGGCCGAUGGCGACCGGCGCACGGGUGAGUAACGCGUAUCCAACCUGCCUUACACUCUUGGACAGCCUUCUGAAAGGGAGAUUAAUACAAGAUGUUAUCAUGAGUAAGCAUUUUCGCAUGAUUAAAGGUUUACCGGUGUAAGAUGGGGAUGCGUUCCAUUAGAUAGUAGGCGGGGUAACGGCCCACCUAGUCUUCGAUGGAUAGGGGUUCUGAGAGGAAGGUCCCCCACAUUGGAACUGAGACACGGUCCAAACUCCUACGGGAGGCAGCAGUGAGGAAUAUUGGUCAAUGGACGAGAGUCUGAACCAGCCAAGUAGCGUGAAGGAUGAAGGUUCUAUGGAUUGUAAACUUCUUUUAUACGGGAAUAAACGAAUCCACGUGUGGAUUUUUGCAUGUACCGUAUGAAUAAGGAUCGGCUAACUCCGUGCCAGCAGCCGCGGUAAUACGGAGGAUCCGAGCGUUAUCCGGAUUUAUUGGGUUUAAAGGGAGCGUAGAUGGGUUGUUAAGUCAGUUGUGAAAGUUUGCGGCUCAACCGUAAAAUUGCAAUUGAUACUGGCAGUCUUGAGUACAGUUGAGGUAGGCGGAAUUCGUGGUGUAGCGGUGAAAUGCUUAGAUAUCACGAAGAACUCCGAUUGCGAAGGCAGCUUACUAACCUGUAACUGACAUUGAUGCUCGAAAGUGUGGGUAUCAAACAGGAUUAGAUACCCUGGUAGUCCACACGGUAAACGAUGAAUACUCGCUGUAGGCGAUAUACAGUCUGCGGCCAAGCGAAAGCAUUAAGUAUUCCACCUGGGGAGUACGCCGGCAACGGUGAAACUCAAAGGAAUUGACGGGGGCCCGCACAAGCGGAGGAACAUGUGGUUUAAUUCGAUGAUACGCGAGGAACCUUACCCGGGCUUAAAUUGCAACCGAAUAUGGCGGAAACGCUAUAGCUAGCAAUAGCGGUUGUGAAGGUGCUGCAUGGUUGUCGUCAGCUCGUGCCGUGAGGUGUCGGCUUAAGUGCCAUAACGAGCGCAACCCUUGCCGAUAGUUACUAACAGGUCAUGCUGAGGACUCUGUCGGGACUGCCAUCGUAAGAUGUGAGGAAGGUGGGGAUGACGUCAAAUCAGCACGGCCCUUACGUCCGGGGCUACACACGUGUUACAAUGGGGGGUACAGAGGGCUGCUACCACGCAAGUGGAUGCCAAUCCCAAAAACCUCUCUCAGUUCGGAUUGAAGUCUGCAACCCGACUUCAUGAAGCUGGAUUCGCUAGUAAUCGCGCAUCAGCCACGGCGCGGUGAAUACGUUCCCGGGCCUUGUACACACCGCCCGUCAAGCCAUGGGAGCCGGGGGUACCUGAAGUGCGUAACCGCAAGGAGCGCCCUAGGGUAAAACUGGUGACUGGGGCUAAGUCAU
rnacentral:rRNA from 1 species